CGACGCGGUGGAAGGGUUAUCCGCGCCGGUCAUCCGCGCGGCGGUGGAAGGCAGCCUGCGCCGGCUCGGCACCGACCGCGUCGAC
rnacentral:tRNA from 1 species